UUUCAGUGUCUGCAAAACUGCUCAAAGGGCAUGGCUCAAAAUAUUAUUUAUAGCCCUUGCGGAGGAACUAAAGCUCCUUGACUUUGUUUAAAGUAUUAUUAUUUUGCCUUAACUGUUUUCCUUUGCUUCUGCAUUCCCUCACUUCUCUGAUCAAAUUUAUGCCUUGGAAUUCGGGGAAGGCCUAGGAAGCUAAAGUUUUUCUACAAACAAGAGGCAGGCUGAGGACCUUGGGGCAGGGCUCUGUCCCAGGAGGCCCCAUAGGGUCCUGCUUGGUUACAAUCCUGUGGGACACUGAAGAUUUGUGCAUUUCGUUGUAUGUAGAUUUUAAUCUCAAAAGAAAAAAGGAAUUGUAAACAAAUUGAACUGUAGUUAUGAUAAACAUGUCGAAACAUGGGGGAGCGCAGAGAUGUCUGCAGCUUACUUUCCGAAGCAUCAAAUGCCAUAAAAUAGGUUGAUGGGUGUCAGAGGGGUGGGGAGAUGGACAGAUACGCAAUCGAGUGCGUGUAGACUCAUGCAAGGGUGGGGGGUACCCAGGUGUUCUCUGCAGACUCUUCAGCUCUUCCCUAUAUUUGAAGGCAUUUACGAUAAAAUGUUGGAAAAAAUCAAUUGUAAAGUAAUUGAUAAUAAACUUCUCUAUUUUUGGAGAAGUCCAGAGGGAUUUGCUUUGCAGCGGCCAGCGGGAGGGCAUGAGCACUUGGAUGCUUGGGGGUUUCUGUCACCCCGGCACUGUGCUGGGUACCGUGGGUGGAUGAUGCUUGCAGAUCUGCAAGUUUCUGAGACAAGUGCUGCUUGUAAGUCUCUGGGUCUAGAUCAGGUGUCAGGUCCUGAUGUGGAGGCUGAGAUUUCCCCAUGAUUCUUGAGUUCCCAUGAUUCUUGUCUCUGGGGAUUUUGCAGACUAGGCAGGAGGUCAAAAUACCCGUACAAGGAAGAGCUAAUUGCCCCAGGCGUGGUGUUUCGUAGGAAUGUCGCCUGGGCUCUGGAGGUGGGAAAGUGAAUAGGGGCUGGGCCAGCCAGCCGAGGCUGAGGCUGCCGGAAGCUGUAGGAUGGGGAGGCCAGGGGAGGGUGUCCCUGCACAGGAACUGCAGGGCCAGGGCCAGUGUGGGAUGUGUGGGGAGACCAAGGGCCAGGCUGGAUCAAAUAGAGGUGGGAACUAGGGGUUCCAUGGGUUGGAGGUAGAUUUGAAAAGGCUCUGAAAGUCAGGGCUGAGGGCAGUCUCAAAAUAUCAGGCCACAGGGAGCCAUGGAUGGUUCUUGAGCAGGAGAGGCCUGGGGGUGGUGCAGGGCUGGGCACAGGGUAUGGUUAGAGGAACCAGAAGAUGAGCAGUGGGAGAGGAAGAAGGUGGCCUCUGAGGAAGGAGCCCUAGUGGCCCAGCUGGGGGUGGAGGACCAAGAGGAGCCAGGGCUUAGGUCUGGACCCAUGUGGAUUCCUUCCUGGCCCCUAAGAGGCUGGCCUUCAGCUGCCUCUGUGCCAUUCUUGGGCCAGCUGUGUGCCUGGGCACAGGGUGCAGUGCUGCAAGCAGGGGAGGGGAUGGAGCCUGAUGACAUUUGUCUUCAGUGAAGCCGCUAAAGCCUCCAGCUCUCAAGCGGAGGCUCCACCCAGAGCGGAGUCUCCCUGGGCUGGAGGAGUGGUGGGGGGGUCCCGCUUCCAUGUCCCCACCCAGCCAACUGCCAGCGGUGGACCCAGCCUCAGCUCUGAGGCUUCCUUCUCUCCCCUCGCCCCUUAAGUCUCCUGUGGUCCUUCAUCUGCGAGGGUAUUGGCGGGGGUGGGGCUCAUCCAGUGCAGGAUUGUUAGAAAGAUGAGAGGAUUCUGGGAAAUUAGCAUAACCUGAUUUGUACUCAGGGGCAGUGCUGGAAGGAAAGGGAUUUGGGCAGCUUCUGCCCCUAAAUGAUGCCAGGGGGUGGGAGAUAGGGGGAGGGGGGCAAAGACGGCCAAGCCCUGCCCAGAAGUCAAGAAAGAGAGCAGCCCUUACCUAUUAAAGUUCAUGCCAAGCUGUCUCCACCACAGCCAGACAAGCCUCUCAUGGGCUGGGGACAGAGAUGGGGUGUGGGGGUAAGCGGCUGGAGGUCAGCGGGCAGGUUGGACCCGGGCACCUCGGAGUCAGAUGCUGGGCACUCCCUGGGGAUCCCCCCCAUCAGUGCUUGUCAGCCACCCCUCUCUUGCACCUGUCCAGCCUCCCGUUUUACAGCCCAGGGAACUGAGAGCCAAAGGCGCUGACCAUGCUUGGCCCAAACACCCCUGGAGUCAAUGUCCAGGCCCUUUGGACUAUGCUUUCCUGUGCAGCUCACCUGAGGUCCCCGUGGCCCGUGAGGCUCCUCCGUCUGUGUCCCCCACGCCUACUCCUGCAGGAGCCCUCAGAGCCUCUCCAGGAAUCGUUAAUACCCGUCAGCAGCAAGCAAACAAACUCCCCGCUUCAUUUAUUUCACAAGUCUCCCGAUUUAAUUAGGUUUUCCAGUUUUCUGCCUGUCCUGGGCCAAUCACUCCUUAAAACAGUGGAGAAUUCAUUUGCACCUGCUGUCAGAAAGCGGCUCUCCCCAGUUAGAAAAAUAAUUAAGCCAUCAUCACACAUCAGGGGUAAUGAAUCACCAUUUCUCACUCAGUUCGCAGGUCGUUUGUUUCCCCUGCAUUGGGAGGGAGGUGCAGACUAAAUUUGAGCAGCUGCCAGUGGAUCCCUCUCCCCUUGCCACCCUUCCCUCUCACCUCUCCCCAGAGACCCCUCUUUCUCCUUGAGCCGUGUGGCUGGCUCGGCCACCUCCAAGGACACAAGGCCCUCCUAGGGUCUCUACCCUGGACUCCAGUUGGCAGCUGGUAGACCCAUCACUCCAUCUCUCCCUGUGUCAUCACGUGGUCCUCUCCCGGUCUCAAGUGUCCCUUUCCUUUUCCUCUUCCUGGUGUCUAGGGUCUCUGUCCCUGUCAUUGGGCUUAUGGUCCACCCUAAUCCAGGAUGAUCUCAGCUGGAGGUCCUCACCUUAAUUACAUCUGCAGGCUCUGCUUCCACAUGAGAUCCCCUUUACAGGUCUUAGAGCUUAGAACAUGGACAUAUUGUUUGGGGGUGGGGGGUGUAGGAGACACACUUCAACCCACCAUGGGUUCAACUCCUGAAGCUUGUGUUCCGUAGAUGCUCGCACACCUGGACACCUCCAGCCUCCCAGGAGACUCUUCAUCUGUCACACCCAGCAACCUGGCCCCCUUUUUCAGACAAACUCCAUCUCAGGACAGGCAGCCCAGCCAUUUGGGGGCCUGGGGCAGGCGUGUCAAGCCACCACAUUUGGGUCUGGCUUUCAGUCCCACAGUGAUAUCUGAGUGGACACUGCCCCUAACUCACUAGGCAGGUGCCCCAGGGCUCAUAGACAGGCCCCCACUCUGGAAGCUCCCAGUCAUGGAGCCGGGUCGGCAGUGCCUGGACACCGGCACUGGGAUCAAAGGCAGGAUGAAGAUGGGCUGAGGCGCUGGGGAUCGUAUGGGGUGUCCUCUGCUUUAAAAGUGACAGAAAAAGAAUCCAGGUCCCCUCUUGCUGUUGCAGAAACCAUGGCAGCAGAAAGAGACAAACGGCACUUGGAGAUGCGGAAUAGCCAGGUUUAUUCAGCACCAGUGUGGGCUCAGCGGAGUCGCCUCCAGAGUCUGAGCACCAGGUCUUUGUUCUGGGUAACUUUUAUACAAUACAGACCUCUGGGUCUUAAGGUUUUCCGGCUCAAGCAGUCCUGGCCCUCCCCACCCCUUUCCCAGGCAGACAGAGUUCCUGCCUAAGAAGCUGAGCAAGCAAGAUUACAGAAGCGAAACUGGUUAGCAGUGCUUGGAGCAUGGUUAGCAGGGCUGCUAGCAAGGACACGAGGCCCGGAAUUGCUACAAGGUCACAAGAAGCGUGGUAUGUGGCCAGCAGAGCUGCUGACAGGCACGUAGCUGCCUUUUCAGCGGGGGGUUGUUGCUCUAGUUAAAACUCUUACUUCGUUCCUAUUUUCGCCCCCUCCCUCUGCCCCCAAACACAGGGUCUCAGAUGGGAACACACAUAGGGUGCUCCAGAGGCCCUUCUGGGGGGUGGCUAAGAGCCGGGGAACCUCCAGAGAUGAGAGGCCAUGCCUGGUGGCCCAAGCCUCACUCCCUAAAGAAGGCAGGCCAGCAGGAGACUCUAGGCCACCGCAAGGAAGAGGGUAUGUGAGCGUGCCCCUUGCAGGCUCAGAGCCCCCAAUCUCGUUUAAUAAACUCGGAAAAUCCUUUGCAUUUUGUUGACCCUCCAAAGGUGGUGUUCUUGACUGACGGACGGAUUGCAUGUGCUCCCGUGGUUCUCGAAGGAGUCUUUCCUGUGGCACUGACUAGUUUUCUUGCUUUUUCUUACCUUUCUCCCUAUUUUGGUUGAGGUAACCACCUGUUCAAGGUGGUAGUACCCAUGUCCCGCCACUUGGUGGCGCAGGCUAGCCACCAGCUAGGAGACCUCAUUCCCAAGGUUUUAGCUUCUUCCUCUUUGAACACUGGGUAUGAAUUCAUCAGCCUGCUGAAUCCUUGUCAUUCUAGAACCAGGCCCUGGGGUGAGCCCGAUCGGGCUGACAAUUGUGGAAGCAGCGUUCAAGAGACGUUAAGGCUGCAAAUGUAAGAAAGCGCACCUGGUUUCCCCUGUUUUGGAAGUAGUUUUUUUAAAUGUGUUUUUGUUUUAUUUUGUCUGAAGGAGGUUUUCUUGGCAUCAAGGAGACUUCCCCCCUCCCCCUGCAUGGGGGCGACUUUCAGGGAUCAAGCCCAGCUCAGGAGAGUGGACAGUGGGCUUCAGUUUUGGCUUCCGAGGUGGCUUGGCUCUGAGGCAGAGACCCUCCCAGGGCAGGGCGGUCAGGAGCUGGGAGAGGUCCUGGGAGAAGCCCUGCCCCAGUCGACAGGGGUUUGUGCAGCAGCUGCUACAGGCAGGGACCCACUACCUGUGAGACGGUCCCGGGGGUCACUCUUGUACCCAGGAGGGAGCUGGGAGCGUGGGGGCGUCCCACUUACCAAAAUAUCCACCUAGGACCACUGGGCACACCCCACAGUUGGUGCUUCUGUAUCUGCGGGUUCCACAUCUGUGGAUUCAACCAACUUCCGAACAAAAAAUAUUUGGGAAAAAAAUUCAGGAAAGUUCCAGAGGGCACAACUUGGAUUUACCUCACCUUGGCAACUGUUACAGAGCAUUGCAUCAUGUUCAGUAUUCUAAGUAACCUAGAGGUGAUCUGAGGUAGGCAGGAGGAUUGCGGGGGUCAAAUGGGAAUACCACGCCAUUCUCUGAGUAUCCGUGGCUGUUGGUGUCCACGGGGGUCCUAGAACCAGUCCCCCAAGGAUACCGAGGGACGCCGGUACUGCUGGCGGUCUGUCUGUGCCCCCUGGCAUCCUUCGUUCCGCCGUCUGUCCUGGUGCCACCCACUUGCCUCCGUCUGCACUCUGGGAGCCCUGAAGUCAGUGAGCCUGGGUUUGGGAGGCCCUCGGUUCACCUCUUCACUGUCAGACUUUCCCCCACUCCACACCCCAUCCCCAGGGACGCCAUCCCGAUCCCACCAGUGAUGCCGAGCCUGGCUGGAGGUCUGGAAAGCACGGCCGUUCUCGCCACUUCUCUGACAAACAUCUGCGGGUCAGGCUGCGGGGCGGUGGGUCCAGUGAACUCUCUGCGCUCCAGGAGCUGGACUUGGACUGUCCCGCCUUCGAGAAGGAAAACUUCUCCAAGUCUGUUCGCCAGCUGGGCCAGUCGUGGUCCAGGAGGGGCCCCGGCUUGUGCGUAACCUGAGAAGCUGAGGCAGCUGCUGAGGAGCGUCAGGGGCGGGUUUCUUCCCGCAAAGUUAAGGGGAGAUUUCUUUCUUUCCCCUUUCUGUCUGCUGGGUACUUGCCCGGCCACCAUGUGGGAUUUUUGCCCCAUUUAAUGACCCUUGAUGGUUCAGGGCUCUCCCUGCACCACUGCCAUGAAAAGGUAAAACCAGGAGUUCUCGUUGUGGCUCAGUGGUUAACGAACCUGACUAGUACCCAUGAGGAUUCGGGUUCCAUCCCUGGCCUCGCUCAGUGGGUUAAGGAUCUGGCAUCGCCGUGAGCUGUGGUCUAGGUCACAGACGUGGCUCGGAUCUGGUGUUGCUGUGGCUGUGGUGUAGGCCGGCAGCUGUAGCUCCGAUUCAGCCCCUAGCCUGGGAACUUCCAUAUGCCGCAUGUGCAGCCCUAAAAAGAC
rnacentral:lncRNA from 1 species